rnacentral:rRNA from 1 species
CCUACGGGUGGCAGCAGUGGGGAAUAUUGGACAAUGGGCGAAAGCCUGAUCCAGCAACGCCGCGUGAGCGAUGAAGGCCUUCGGGUCGUAAAGCUCUGUUCUCAGGGAAGAAAAUGACGGUACGUGAGGAGUAACUGCGGGCUAACUAAGUGACAGCAGCCGCGGUAAUACGUCGGGGGCUAGCGUUAUCCGGAAUUACUGGGCGAAAAGGGUGCGUAGGUGGUUUGUUAAGUCAGAGGUGAAAGGCUGCGGCUCAACCGUAAUACGCCUUUGAAACUGGUAAACUUGAGUGCAGGAGAGGAGAGUGGAAUUCCUGGUGUAGCGGUGAAAUGCGUAGAUAUCAGGAGGAACACCAGUUGCGAAGGCGGCUCUCUGGCUUGUAACUGACGCUGAGGCACGAAAGCGUGGGGAGCAAACAGGAUUAGAUACCCGUGUAGUC